rnacentral:rRNA from 1 species
ACGCUGGCGGCGUGCCUAAUACAUGCAAGUCGAACGGUCUUUUCUAUGGAAGCUUGCUUCCACUGAGAAGAUAGUGGCGAACGGGUGAGUAACACGUGGGUAACCUGCCCAUAAGAGGGGGAUAACAUCCGGAAACGGAUGCUAAUACCGCAUAGUUUUCUUGAUCGCAUGAUCGGGAAAGGAAAGACGGCCUUUGUGCUGUCGCUUAUGGAUGGACCCGCGGCGUAUUAGUUAGUUGGUGAGGUAACGGCUCACCAAGACGAUGAUACGUAGCCGACCUGAGAGGGUGAUCGGCCACAUUGGGACUGAGACACGGCCCAAACUCCUACGGGAGGCAGCAGUAGGGAAUCUUCCGCAAUGGACGAAAGUCUGACGGAGCAACGCCGCGUGAGUGAAGAAGGUUUUUCCGGAUCGUAAAACUCUGUUGUCAGAGAAGAACAAGUUGGAGAGUAACUGCUCCAGCCUUGACGGUAUCUGACCAGAAAGCCACGGCUAACUACGUGCCAGCAGCGGC